rnacentral:antisense_RNA from 1 species
GCUCUAUUCCAGAAGCAGUGUGGAGCACAAAGAAUCCCUAAUCCCUGACAUUAAGAAAGAAGAAAAAUAUUCCUAGGACGAUCCUGGAGAGCAAAGGUCAUUAGCAGUCACUUGACUUUCCUUGGAUUUCUCAACUGCAGUAGUCACACGGUCUGCUGAAAAUGAAUUCUCUUUAUUUUCAUCUGAUUUCAAGGAAUUAUGGUUUUCAGUGAUUUCUUCAUUUGGAUCUAUUUUGAGACAGAGUAAUAGCAUUAAAACCCCCUUCUGAAUUAAUAAGUGCUCCAAGAAACAGGCUCAAGCUCUGGCAUAAGAAGAUUCAGUUUUGCAUUUAUAGAAUUGCUUCUACUAUUCUGAUUCUACCACAUUUUGGAAUGGGAUCACCAACUUUCAGUUCUACCAACGUCCACCUUGCAGCUAAACCUGAAUCUUUACUGUGAAAAGUCUUAAUUCUGUUGGUUUCAUUAUGACCAUUUUUUUGGAAUUUGUUUUGAGGUAAGAUGGGCUUAAAAUCACCCAAUU